GGGCAGGUGGUGAAAUUGGCAAACACGCUAGCCUUAGGAGCUAGUGCCUGAAUAAGGCUUGUGGGUUCAACUCCCACCCUGCCCACCA
rnacentral:tRNA from 3 species